GCCCGCUAACAAUUUUAAACCCGCCACAUCAUUUAUGUAUGUGCCUGUCCCAAGUCAUGAGCCUGCAAUUCAGUAGUUGUCGUUUGUUUAUGUGUUACAUAUUUAUUUUUCGUUCAUUUUUUUUUUGUUAUAUAAAUAAGGCGGUUAGUUUUCUUGUUUGAAUUGUUUUACAUUGUCAUAUCGGGGCCUUUUAUAGCUGACCAUGCGGAUUUGGCAUUGCUCAUUGUUGAAGGCCGUACGGUGACCUAUAUUUGUUAAUGUCUCUGUCAUUUUGGUCUCUUG
rnacentral:lncRNA from 1 species